CAGCACUGUUUAUUUAUGUCCUUUUUAACUGCCAAAAAUCAUCAAAGUAGGAACUGUAUUGAAUUCGACUUUCCAACUGCAUUUGCUAACUCCCUGGGCAGACAGGCUAUCCUGGUGAUUCCUAUGUGCUGUUUUGAACCAUUCUGGAAGCUGCAUUGAGAUGUGAUUUGUUCUCACAUCUGGUGCAACAUGGAUUGGCUAGUAUUAUAGGUUUCAUAAAUUAAUGGAGAUUUUUUUUUUAAUUUAAGGGCUCUUAAUUAGGUUUAAAAAUAGCACCUAACUCAUGACAAAGGUUUAUCUGUUACCACCUGAUCUUCCAUUCAGAGUCUGCUUCCAAUGGGUAUGUGUUGGUUGACAACAGAGACCCUUCUGUGUAAGACCUGUUUGAGAAAGGGUGUGGCUGGAUGAGAACCUGAUUUUCCUGUCACAGUUACAGUGAGUGGUUGGUGAGGGGAAUUGCCUUCUCAGGGUAUCUUAGUCCUUUCAGGCUGCUAUAACAAAAUACCACAGACUUGGUGGCUUAUAAACAGCAGACGGUUUGUUUAUUGCCCGCAGUCCUGGAAGCCCAAGAUCAGGGUGGUAGUCUGGUCAUGGGAGGGCCCACCUUCAGGNNNNNNUUUGCUGUGACCUCAUGUGAUGGAAGAAACUUGGAAGCUCUCUGGGCCUCUCUUGUAAGAGCACUAAUCCCAUUUCUGAGGGCUUCACCCUCACAACCUAAUCACCUUCGAAAGGCCCAUCUUCUAACACCAUCAAAAUGGGCCUUAGAACACAGCAUGGACAUAUGGGGGACACAUUCAGUCUAUAGCAGGAGGCACGGAAAGCAGAAUGGGAGUAGCUGUCAGUUCCUGCUGGACUUAAGGCAACUUCUGGACUUUAGGAGUCAUCACAUCUUUAAAUUUAAGAGCUUCUUGAAGAUGAAUUACCAAGUUAUCCCUCAGAAGACCUUGACAACUGAUACACUGAUUCCAUUUUUCUGGUUAGUUGUAAGAUCUUUCCUAUAGUGUAUGAAUGAGUAAAAAUCAUGAGUAUUGUUCUGUUUUUUGGUAAGAGAUUUGUUUCCUUCAGUUCAGUUCAGUCACUCAGUCAAGUCCGACUCUUUGUGACCCCAUG
rnacentral:lncRNA from 1 species